rnacentral:lncRNA from 1 species
CUAGGCUCAAGUGAUUCCGCCCACCUCUGCCUCCCAAAGUGCUGGGAUUACGGGCAUGAGCCAGCGCAUCUGGCCACCUUAUUUUCUAUUACUGGCUCAAUGUAAUGGCUCCAUCUCAGGAACAGCCAAUGAAAGAGAUGCACAGGACAAGAAACAGGACCUUGCCUGUCACUCAGGAUGGAGUUCAGUGGUCCUAUCAUGGCUCAUUAUAGCCUCAAACUCCCAGGCUCAAGCAAUCCUACCAUGUCAGCCUUCCCAGUAGCUGGGACUACAGGUCUCACACUGUCACCCAGGCUGGAGUACAGUGGCACAACCUCUGCUCACUGCAGCCUCCACCUGCCAGGCUCAAGCAAUUCUCCUGCCUCAGCCUCCCGAGUAGCUGGGAUUACAGGAAGUGACCUCACAAUGACUCAAGCUACCACAUACUGUUGAUUGUGAUGAAAUGCCAGUUGAAGCAUAUGUCCUGCGAGCUUAGGGGUGCUACAAGUUGACCACUGCAGCAGUAAAGAUGACUCUGAAGAAUGGCAUGGGAUGGAUCCUUUCGAAUGCACUUGAGCAGCGGUCUCCAACCACAGGGCCACAGAGCUGGAGGUGAGCAGCAGCUGGAUCUACCAUGAAAGACUUCUGAAUCCAGGAAGAGAGACUGACUGGGCAACAUGUUAUUCAGGGUCUCCCUCUGUUGUCCAAGGCUGGAGUGUAGUAGCGCUAUCGCAGCUGACUGCAGCCUCAACCUUCCAGGCUGAAGCGAUCCUCCUACCUCAGCCUCCCACGUGGCUGAGACUACAGGUGCUUGCCACUAUGCCAACUAAUAUUUGGAAUUUUCGUAUACGUGGAUUCCAGAGGGGUGACAGCGUAAUGUGGGACCAUCCAGUUUCAGGAAAACAAGCUUAACACGCCCACUGAUUCUACAUUAUGCUCCUACCUCCCGGCAGCCUCUCCAGGCCCAGAACUUUCUCCAGUCACCCUCUACAGACCAAGCUCAUGACUCACAAU